GACGUAGGGCGCGAGCGUUGUCCGGAUUUAUUGGGCGUAAAGAGCUCGUAGGCGGCUCAUUGCGUCAACCGUGAAAACCAGCAGCUCAACUGUUGGCUUGCGGUUGAUACGGGUGGGCUGGAGUUCGGUAGGGGAGACUGGAAUUCCUGGUGUAGCGGUGAAAUGCGCAGAUAUCAGGAGGAACACCGGUGGCGAAGGCGGGUCUCUGGACAACUCCUGACACUGAGGCACGAAAGCUAGGGGAGCAAACAGG
rnacentral:rRNA from 1 species